rnacentral:lncRNA from 1 species
CAGGCCCAGAGAUGGGAAGUCCUGGGUUCAAAACUGUCCUCAGAUGCUUCUUAACUGGAUGACCCCAGGCAAGUCAAUUAACCCCUAAUGCCUGGCCCUUCCUGCUCUUUCACCUUAGAGCUAAGACAGAAGAAGGCUCUGAGCAGAUUGGGUGGACUUCCUACGGAAGAAUUAUGGAAGUACAUGGACAAAAGCUAUAUGGGAUGAGAAGCACUGAUGGUUUGAGAUUCUCAUAAGUGCCGCCUCAAACCACCUUGGGACAGACAAGUCAUAUGAGAGAGCAAAGAGGACUAUACUCGUUGGACAGCUGUCUCUCUCCAGACUAGAAAUGAGUUUGAUACAGAUUAAUGAUAUG